GUCCAACGUUAAUCGGGGCAGGGUGAGUCGACCCCUAAGGCGAGGCCGAAAGGCGUAGUCGAUGGGAAACAGGUUAAUAUUCCUGUACUUGGUGUUACUGCGAAGGGGGGACGGAGAAGGCUAUGUCAGCCGGGCGACGGUCGUCCCGGUUUAAGCGUGUAGGCUGACUUUCCAGGCAAAUCCGGAAAGUUAAGGCUGAGGCGUGAUGACGAGGCACUACGGUGCUGAAGU
rnacentral:rRNA from 1 species